rnacentral:rRNA from 1 species
GAUGAACGCUGGCGGCGUGCCUAAUACAUGCAAGUCGAGCGAACUGAUUAGAAGCUUGCUUCUAUGACGUUAGCGGCGGACGGGUGAGUAACACGUGGGCAACCUGCCUGUAAGACUGGGAUAACUUCGGGAAACCGAAGCUAAUACCGGAUAGGAUCUUCUCCUUCAUGGGAGAUGAUUGAAAGAUGGUUUCGGCUAUCACUUACAGAUGGGCCCGCGGUGCAUUGUCUAGUUGGUGAGGUAACGGCUCACCAAGGCAACGAUGCAUAGCCGACCUGAGAGGGUGAUCGGCCACACUGGGACUGAGACACGGCCCAGACUCCUACGGGAGGCAGCAGUAGGGAAUCUUCCGCAAUGGACGAAAGUCUGACGGAGCAACGCCGCGUGAGUGAUGAAGGCUUUCGGGUCGUAAAACUCUGUUGUUAGGGAAGAACAAGUACAAGAGUAACUGCUUGUACCUUGACGGUACCUAACCAGAAAGCCACGGCUAACUACGUGCCAGCAGCCGCCGUAACAC